rnacentral:rRNA from 1 species
AGAGUUUGAUCCUGGCUCAGAACGAACGCUAGCGGCGGGCUUAACACAUGCAAGUCGAACGGCAGCAGGACUUAGCUUGCUAAGUUGCUGGCGAGUGGCGGACGGGUGAGUAAUGCGUAGGAAUCUGUCUUGAAGAGGGGGAUAGCCCGGGGAAACUCGGGCUAAUACCGCAUAGACUUCUGUAAUCUUUUUAAGGUUGAGAGAAGAAAUGAAGGGGAUCUGCAAAGACCUUUCGCUUUAAGUUGAGCCUACGUUGGAUUAGCUAGUUGGUGAGGUAAAAGCUCACCAAAGCGACGAUCCAUAACUGGUUUGAGAGGACGAACAGUCACACUGGGACUGAGACACGGCCCAGACUCCUACGGGAGGCAGCAGUGGGGAAUAUUGGACAAUGGGGGCAACCCUGAUCCAGCGAUGCCGCGUGGAGGAUGACACAUUUCGGUGCGUAAACUCCUUUUAUAUGAGAAGAAAAUGACGGUAUCAUAUGAAUAAGCGCCGGCUAACUCCGUGCCAGCAGCCGCGGUAAUACGGAGGGCGCAAGCGUUAUUCGGAAUCACUGGGCGUAAAGGACGCGUAGGCGGGAUGCCAAGUCUGAUGUGAAAUCCUAUGGCUUAACCAUAGAACUGCAUUGGAAACUGGUACCUUAGAGUAUGGGAGGGGGAGAUGGAAUUUAGUGGUGUAGGGGUAAAAUCCGUAGAUAUCACUAGGAAUACCGAAAGCGAAGGCGAUCUCCUGGAACAAUACUGACGCUAAGGCGUGAAAGCGUGGGGAGCAAACGGGAUUAGAUACCCCGGUAGUCCACGCCCUAAACGAUGUUCACUAGUCGUCGGGAUGCUAGUCAUCUCGGUGAUGCACUUAACAGAUUAAGUGAACCGCCUGGGGAGUACGGUCGCAAGAUUAAAACUCAAAGGAAUAGACGGGGACCCGCACAAGUGGUGGAGCAUGUGGUUUAAUUCGAAGAUACGCGAAGAACCUUACCUAGCCUUGACAUUGAUUGAACGGACCAGAGAUGGACCGGUGCCCUUCGGGGAACAUGAAAACAGGUGCUGCACGGCUGUCGUCAGCUCGUGUCGUGAGAUGUUGGGUUAAGUCCCGCAACGAGCGCAACCCUCGUCCUUAGUUGCCAGCAGGUUAAGCUGGGCACUCUAGGGAGACUGCCUUCGUAAGGAGGAGGAAGGUGAGGACGACGUCAAGUCAUCAUGGCCCUUAUGGCUAGGGCUACACACGUGCUACAAUGGGGCGUACAGAGAGUUGCGAUACCGCGAGGUGGAGCUAAUCUCACAAAGCGUCUCUCAGUUCGGAUUGAAGUCUGCAACUCGACUUCAUGAAGCUGGAAUCACUAGUAAUCGUAGAUCAGCAAUGCUACGGUGAAUACGUUCCCGGGUCUUGUACUCACCGCCCGUCACACCAUGGGAGUUGAUUAUACCCGACGUCGCUGGGCUAACCUGUCUAUUUAUAGAUGGGAGGCAAGCGCCUAAGGUAUGGUUGAUAAUUGGGGUGAAGUCGUAACAAGGUAACC